rnacentral:rRNA from 1 species
CCCUUAGAUGUUCUGGGCCGCACGCGCGCUACACUGACGGGAGCAACGAGUUUUACCUUGGCCGGUGGGUCCGGGUAAUCUUCCAAAUCUCGUCGUGAUGGGGAUAGAUGAUUGCAAUUAUUCAUCUUCAACGAGGAAUUCCUAGUAAGCGCAAGUCAUCAGCUUGCGUUGAUUACGUCCCUGCCCUUUGUACACACCGCCCGUCGCUCCUACCGAUUGGAUGAUCCGGUGAGAUCUCUGGACUGUGUUUUCACGGCCUUGGCCGAGAGAACGCGGGAAGUUGCUCGAACCUUAUCAUCUAGAGGAAGGAGAAGUCGUAACA